rnacentral:rRNA from 1 species
CCUACGGGUGGCAGCAGUGAGGAAUAUUGGUCAAUGGGCGGAAGCCUGAACCAGCCAAGUAGCGUGCGGGAUGAAGGCCCUACGGGUCGUAAACCGCUUUUGCACGGGGAUAACACCCUCCACUUGUGGAGGUCUGCAGGUACCGUGCGAAUAAGGGCCGGCUAAUUCCGUGCCCGCAGCCGCGGUAAUAGGGAAGGCCCGAGCGUUAUCCGGAUUCAUUGGGCUUAAAGGGAGCGUAGGCGGGUGUUCCAUUCAUCUGUAAAAUCGUUCGGCCCAACCGCGCCCCGCAGUUGAAACUGGACGCCUUGAGUUCACAACAGGCAGGCGGAAUUCGUGGUGUAGCGGUGAAAUGCAUAGAUAUCACGAGGAACCCCGAUUGCGAAGGCAGUCUGCCGGGGUGCGACUGACGCGGAGGCUCGAAGGUGCGGGUAUCAAACAGGAUUAGAUACCCCGGUAGUC